UGGGGAAUCUUGGACAAUGGGCGCAAGCCUGAUCCAGCCAUGCCGCGUGGAUGAUGAAGGCCUUAGGGUUGUAAAAUCCUUUCAGCGGGGACGAUAAUGACGGUACCCGCAGAAGAAGCCCCGGCUAACUUCGUGCCAGCAGCCGCGGUAAUACGAAGGGGGCUAGCGUUGUUCGGAUUUACUGGGCGUAAAGCGCGUGUAGGCGGGUCGUUAAGUUGGGGGUGAAAUCCCGAGGCUCAACCUCGGAACUGCCUUCAAAACUGGCGACCUGGAGCAAGAUAGAGGCAAAUGGAAUUGCGAGUGUAGAGGUGAAAUUCGUAGAUAUUCGCAGGAACACCAGUGGCGAAGGCGACUUGCUGGAUCUUUGCUGACGCUGAGACGCGAAAGCGUGGGGAGCAAAC
rnacentral:rRNA from 1 species